rnacentral:rRNA from 1 species
UACAGAGGGGGCAAGCGUUAUUCGGAAUUAUUGGGCGUAAAGAGCUCGUAGGCGGUGUGUCACGUCGGCCGUGAAAACCUGGGGCUUAACUCUGGGCGUGCGGUCGAUACGGGCAUCACUAGAGUUCGGCAGGGGAGACUGGAAUUCCUGGUGUAGCGGUGAAAUGCGCAGAUAUCAGGAGGAACACCGGUGGCGAAGGCGGGUCUCUGGGCCGAUACUGACGCUGAGGAGCGAAAGCAUGGGUAGCGAACAGG